GACGAACCGUGCGAACGUUGUUCGGAAUCACUGGGCUUAAAGGGCGCGUAGGCGGCUUGCCAAGUCAGGGGUGAAAUCCUCCAGCUUAACUGGAGAAGUGCCUUUGAUACUGGCAGGCUCGAGGUAGGUAGGGGCAUGUGGAACUUCCGGUGGAGCGGUGAAAUGCGUUGAUAUCGGAAGGAACGCCGGUGGCGAAAGCGACGUGCUGGACCUCUUCUGACGCUGAGGCGCGAAAGCUAGGGGAGCAAACGGG
rnacentral:rRNA from 1 species